AUGGUGAAGGAGAAGGGGAAUGAGAAGGGAAAGGGUGCUGGUAAGGAGAAUGGGAAGCCGAAGGGUGCUGGUAAGGAGAAUGGGAAGGCAAAGGCAAAGGAAAAGAGCUUGAAUUACCUAAUUAGGCAAGAUUCGGCGCUGCCUCCUCUAGUUCCGAGGAAGAAGAGCAAACCUAAGGUGCAGAUUAAGAAGGCAAAAGACUUUCCCAAUGCCCCAAUGGGAGAGUUAAUUUGUAGGUUAAAAAAACACCCUCCGCCUCCUCCGCGUCUCCCCGACCGCACCGGUGCCGGCGUGCGUGCCGCGGAAGCCGCUGCCUCCGGCUCGGCAACUGGCUCCGAGCUGCCUCAUGCAUCUACUAUUGAAAUGGGUGAAGCAAUGUUGGAGAAGUUUGACAAAUAUUGGGAAGAAAAGAACAAUGCCAUGGUGAUCGCAACCGUCUUUGAUCCACGGUACAAGAUGAAUUACAUAGAGUGGGCCUUUGGAGAACUAUAUGGAGUAGGAAGUACGAGGGGUAGGACUGAGAUGAAAAUCGUGGAGAAAGAGUUGGCGACCUUGUAUGACAAAUGUGUUUCCCAAGAUAAGCGAGCUGGAAAUGGAGAAAGUGUAUCUUCCUCUACAAACAUUCCUAGUAUCCCGGUUCAAGCUGGGUAUGAGUCCUUCUUAUCGUCCCGUUCAACAAGAAUAUCAAAGAGUGAGUUGAGAAACUACUUAGAGGAUGCGGUUGAACCUCGCAACAAGGCUCUUGAUCUUCUUGGUUGGUGGAAAGUCAAUGCUCCUAGGUACCCAAUUAUGGCCAAGAUAGCCAGGAGGUUCCUUACUAUCCCGGCUACCUCUGUGUCUUCAGAAUCUACCUUCAGCACGAUCGGAAGGAUUUUAGGUAUGUCAACUCGUACUAAUGAACUCUGGAUAUAA
rnacentral:rRNA from 1 species